AGAUUAACGAGAGAAGAGAAGAGCACAAGCAACCGAGAGGUUGGAUCGGGUUCUCCGCCGGUGACAGUAAGAGAUGAGUGAAAAGAAGUCUAACUUCUCUGUGACGUGCAGCCUCUUGAGCCAGUUCAUUAAGGAGAGGAGGAUCAAUGGUGAGCUUGGAGUUUUUGAUAUGGGCUCCAGGCCUCAAGAGCCCACCAAAGGAUCAUUUCGGGCAUCUACUACUAUGAGCUUGUUACCCGGAGCUAACAUCUCGGCCGAAACCGAAACUAUUUCUGCUACGGAACAGAGCACCGCAAAACCCAUGGACUUGUUCCCACAACAAACUGGCUUUGGCUCCGCCCCCGCAGACACUACUAAAACAGAGACCAAACAAUUUGAGAAGGGUCAGCUGACAAUAUUUUACUGCGGAAAAGUGUUGGUGUUCGAUAAUUUUCCGGCCGAGAAGGCGGAGAAUUUGAUGCAGUUGGCAGCGAAAGGGAGCUCGCCGCUCGGUGUUGCCCGUGUGCAGCCCGACGGUGGGCAGCAAGCCGGAACAGGCGACGUCCGGUCCUUCUGAUUUGGCUAUGCCAAUUGCGAGGAGGGCUUCACUCCAUAGAUUCUUUGCCAAAAGAAAAGAUCGGAUCGUUUCAAAAGCACCGUAUCAAAUAAAUGGCAACUCUUCAUCAAUGGGAGAAUCUAGCAAAGCUUGAUCAGACGCAGUCAUGGCUUGGUUUGGGUCGACGAGGGGUCUCGAGUCCAAAUUAACCAAGAUUUGAGAAACUAGGAGAUAGAAAAUAUUGCUAAUGACCAACUCACGCUGAUUUCGGUGACUAGGAGAUUAGUUUGAGAAGAAUAUAACAUAUUGUUAAUUAAAGCAAGACAUAUGUGUACUACAGUAGAUAUUUUUUUUUAUCUUCUUAUAUUAAGGAUCAUGUUGUAUUCUUAUUCAUACUUGGUGUGUUUUUAUUAUUUCCAUUAUUGUUUUCCUUU